rnacentral:lncRNA from 1 species
UUUGGUUGAAAUCGUAUAAAAAGAUUUGUUGGGGCUAAUUUUUAUGAUCAAAAGUCAAUAAAAAAAGGAGAUAAAAGAUGAGGGGGCAUGGUGAAAUCUUUAGGGGUUUUCUUAUGCUGCUUGAAAGAAAAACGGAAGGAGAGUCUACCAUAAAAUAAUAUGAGGAAUUAGGGUUCUAUACGACAUUUUCCCUUGUUUUUGUGAUCGUAAAAGCACAAAUGGCAUAUGCACAAACAAACAAAAUAGAAUUAUCAAAAGCAAAAGAACCAGUAUUUUUUUUUUCAACUGACAACUCUCCCAUGUCCUAAGAAUUGCAAACACUUGUAUAUAUGGAAAUAAGAAGUAGACCAACAAAAUUGGCAAAACAGAGAAACCACCCUGGAGCUAUGCCCUUCUAUGCAUCAAAGUGAGGAAAAAGGUAUGUAUAAAUCAGACAGACACAUUAUAUGAUGUAAUUAUGUAACGAGAAGCAAAAGUUGAAGUCAGCUACUCUCCGACUGGAGAAAUAUUGAGCUAGCAAUUAGAUGAUGAUGCAAUAAAUGAAAUAGAAACAGAAAAAAUAUAUGGAAAUACUCACAAAUACUCAAACUUAACUAUUGAUCUCUAGCGCAGGAAAGCAACCAGCCAGCCAGCCAAUACUUAGGAGCUUUCUUUAUUUCUUUUUCUUUGUAAGGAUUUUAAAGGGAAUGGAGAGAGAGAGAGAGAGAGAGGGGUACAACUCUAUGUGCAAUUGUGCAUAUAUUCCUAUGCAAUGGUUUAAAGCAAGGACAAGGCCACUAGGGGAGGUCCCGAGCCCGAGACAGGUAACUCAACCUAUCCAACUAUUUAGAACACAUGGCCGAGUCUUAGAAAACAAAUUAACAGUAAAACCUUGGGAGCCAGCAAGACCCAGCCUGUUCCCAAGGUUUUUCUAUAGAAUCGGCAGCUCACCAAGCCCAAGCAACUCAGGCAAGUUCGAUUCGGACUCGCCGAGCUUUCAAACACUGGUAUACUGGUACACAGAAAUCCCCAUCUUCCCUUUUGAUCUUCUUGGAAUCAAGCCCCAUGCUUUCUUUUGCUCAUCCGAAGCAUUUUUCUUUUGUGCUCUUUUUUUCCAGCACACUCAAGCACAACAAUCUCAAAAUUAGGACGUAUACUUGGUUUUGGGGUAUCAUAAUUAACCCCAUUUUUUAAACUUUAGCUGUUAAAGAAUAUUCCAUGCACCAUAUCACAGGGAUUAAAAUAAAUAAAGCUUAACAAGGGAAAAUAAUGGCAAUUUGCAAGUUCCAUGCCUCCUGAUAAAUUUCCAAAAAAAAGUUGAAAAAUUAAAAAAUUAAUCAAUGCUUUAAAAAGAUCAGAUAACUCUAAAAGCAUCCAUAGGUUCCUUGUAAAUUUGUCAAAAGCAAACCCAUGCAUCACAUUAUCAAAAAACGGAAAUGUAAAGAAAAAUAAUUGCAAUUUCCAUCAACAAAUCCCAGGCUUCUAACAAAUUUUCAAGAAAUUCAGAGCACUACUAUAAAAGAUAGGUAAUUGUAAAUGCCUCAAGCCUAAAAAUUCUAGGUGUCAAAACCAUACACCAUGAAGAACUAAGGUUUCCAAUGAUAAACGAAGAGGUGAAUAUUGGAGUUUUAAUGAGAGAAAAGGGUGGAGGCAUAGGUGAUAGGUGAAUAGGUUUUAGUGACAGAAAAGGGUGAAGGCGUACCUGAGCGUAGUAAGAGGGGGGUUUGGCAACCAGAAGCUGGAAUUUCUACAUCUGAAAUUUGGAUGCUGGGAAUUUGGAUACCAGGUAAAGAUAAAUAUUGUGUUUGGCAAGCUAUUUGGAAAUUUCUACAACAUUGUUUAGUUCAACCUGGGAAUUUGCAAACCUAGAAUCAAUAAGUUUUAAUUGUUCAUUGCAGUUUCCAUUGAUGAGAGGAUAAUAAUUGCUAAAAGAAUGAGAUUUCAAUGCCAUAGCUCAUCCACAGUUAGUCUAAUCUAACAAAAUGGUGGAAUAGAUCACAGAAAAAAUUUUCAAUUUUAGCAUAAAAAGUUCAUCAUUAUUACAAGAUCCAUAAACUACUAUCGGCAUUCAGUGACCAUUCCAAGAUCCAUUCGGGCAUAAAAAGAAAACAAUUAAAAAAAAAAACUCAAGAGAUACAAUUUCAGUUGAAAAUAACAUUUUAGCAGAAAAAAUUUCGGAACACAAGCAAAGAGCAAAUUCAAAUUAACGAAUGAACAAAUUAUCAGAGGAAACACUGAAGGUAAAAGUAAAUCCAUAUCAUUCACCAAAAAAUUUUCAGCUACGAAGAAUAUAAGUUAAAAAAAAAAAAGCAGCAGACAGCCGUUCAACCGAUAAACAGAGCGGAAAAAGAGGAAAAAUAAAUGCAGCAAAUAAUUACAUGACUAAAUUCUAAAGAACCUGGUUCCUGGCCAUUCAUACUCAGAAUGUUUCCGUUGAAAAUUAUAUCAAAACAAUAGUGUUCCUAACCAUUCUCAGAAGCCAUAACAAAAUCAGGAAAAAGAUACAUAAAAAACAUGGGUUACAGAUAAUGUUUCUGCAAAAAGUUACAUCAAAGCAACCAGGUUCCUGACCAUUUAUAACAAAAAGUGCAGCAAAAGGAUUUUGGGACCAUAUUGUAAAGCAAGACAAAAAGAAAUUAUGGGGCAAAUAUACUUACCAUUCUUUAUGCCAAAAAACUUACAUCUAAACAACCUAACCAAGUGACCAUCACGCACACACAAAAAAAGCAGCAAAAAAAUGAUAUCUUUGUAAAGCAAGAAAAAAAUGUUUUUGCUGCAAUUUUUGAUGGAUUUUUGCUAACUCUCAUAAUAAAAGACACAAGAAUAUGGCCCAAAUAUACAGGAGAAAACAUAUUAAAGGCAGGAGGCGAAAACAAUGCAACACAGAUUUGAGUUCAUAUGAGGAAAUCGGAUAUGUAUCUAAUGCUCUCUCAAAAAAAAAGCCCGUCGCAUACCUGUAGCCUUUGUAAAUUGUAGCAGGGUGCGUUCACGGUAUCGUGGGAUGCUCUAGAGAGAGAAAGAGCAGGCACUUCUGGGAGAGGGCUUUCUGCAUAAUCUUUUCUAGAGAGAGAGAGUAUAGAAGUGGGGUUCCAGUGGUUCGGUAGAGGGAGUGAAGACAGGAAAUAGCCAGCGAGAGCGAGGGAGGACGUCUCUUACGAGGGAAAGAGAGGUUUUUCUUUUUUUUUUUUCUGAAGUGAGUUAAUUGUUUCAUGCGGGCUGGACCGCAUUCUACAUUACGCGGUUCAAAAGUAUAAAGCAUCCAUUUUAAAGAUAGCUGCAAAUUGGGAGUCCAUUUAAAGACAUUUGUAUCUAACUGUGUAAACGUUUUCUUAAUAUAAUUAUUAUUUUUAUUUUUAAAAAAAUCAUAUUCAUGAUCUUCAUGUCAAAAAUUAUUGAUGAAUUAUCACAAAUAUAUCUUAAUUUUUAUCUAUCUAGAAAAAAAAUCUCAAUUUUUAGAAUCCUCGUCCACACCUUUUUUUUUUCAAUUUUGGUUAUUUUGUGACCAAAAUAAUCUUCACACCUUUACCGUAGUAGUAUUACCGUAAUAACUUGAAUUAAUAUUAGGGAAAAUAUCUUGAUACUUCCUAUUUUUAGGUUUCAUUUCAUAACAGAUCCAAGGUUUUAAAAAAUAUCUUGGCGCAUAAAAUUUAUAGAUUUUAUUUCUUUUAAACCUUAUGCUACUUUAAACAUGUUUUUUUAGGCCAAACAAACUUAAAAAGAUAUGUUUUUUUUAAAAGUUAGCCUCCCCAAGUUAUCUCUCUUACUCUCUCCCUGCAUCGCUUCUCUCUCUUCACAUUUUUCAUCUCUCUCCUCCCAAAUAUAAAAUAAAUAUACAGAGAGAAAAAGAGGAAUUUAGAUAAACAAGAAGAGAUAGAGGUGUUUGGUAUCAGAGCGAGGUUGUAGAAGCGUGGUGGGCUCAUAACCUACACUGUGAGUAUAAACCUUUUGAGAGAAUUCUUCAUUGAAGUCACUGCCUAUGCAAAGUCGGUAACGUAUUGAUUUGACUAGCAGACAACCUUGUUCUUAAAUACAAUUAUUAUUAUUAUUUGAAUCUUUAGGUAUUAUCUAAAUUUUAAAAUGGCAUCCAAGUUAGUCAUGUCAGAACUAUCAAAACUUGAAAAACUCAAUGGAACCAAUUUUUCUAUGUGGAAAAUAAAAAUUGGAUAUAUUCUAUUCUAAGAUAUGGUAGAUUAUAUCCUAGAUACAGAACCAUCAGUUUUAUAGCCUAAUGCCAAUGGCUAAGCCAGACGGCGACUUGAAAAAUGGUUAAAAGAUGACAAAGUAGUUAAGACUACUAUGUUUAAGUUUUAUGGAAUAUAAUUUAAUUAGAGCCUUUGAGAAUCACACCACAGCUCAAAGUAUGAUUGGUGCCUUAUCUGAAAAAUAUGGGACCACUUAUGAUACUCAUAUACAAUUGUUAUUAGAAAAAUACAAUUCUUGCAUAAUGAAAUAAUCGGACUCAAUGACCGAGCAUGUCAAUAAAAUGACAGUGCUCGCAAAGGACCUAGUUGCAGCCAGCAAUCUAGUCCCCAACCUCAUGCAAGUGUCCAAUGUCCUUAACAGUCUCCCUCCAUCUUGGGAGCCUGUUGUAAUUGCAUUGAAAAUUGUUGCACAAGGGAUAACCAUGUUAAAUCUUCACAUGCAUCUCAGUAUUAAAGCUGAUAGAAGAAUGAAGCAAAAGUCAAAUGAGCUCUACUUUGCCCAAAGUUCAUCUUCUCAGAUCCCUAAGAAACCUUGCAAUAAUCAGAAAAAUAAUAGGUACAAGGGAAAUGGAAGGAAUUUUAAAAAUCAAAAGACUACAAAGUUCAUCUUCUCAGAUCCCCAAGAAACCUUGCAAUAAUCAGAAAAAUAAUACGUAUAAGGGAAAUGGGAGAAAUUUUAAAAAUAAAAAAAAUAAGGUUGAGAAGACUUGUUUUUAUUGUAAGGAAAUUGGGUACAUUAAGUUUAAUUGUCCCAAGUUGAAAAACAAAAAUAGAAAAAAGAAUAAUAAUCAUGCUUGAAAUAAUCAAAAUAAAAGAAAAGAUUUGAUCUGCGUAGUCCUAAAAUCAAUAGUUGUCGACUAUGACUUAACAAAUUGGUGGAUCGACUCAACCUCCACUGGACAUGUCUAGAGGACCAAGGAUGAAUUCACAGAGUUGAAGGAGAUUGCAGCCGAUAACCAACGGAUUUAUAUGGGAAAUGACACUUACUGUAAUGUAUUAGGUGUGAUACAUUCAAGAUGUGUUUAUCAGGAAGAACAAAUCUCUUAUUGACUGAUACAUUGUAUGCAUUCAAUAUGAUGCGUAAUUUGAUUUUUAUCCUUAGGCUAGACGACAAGGGUUAUGAAAUAAGGUUUAGGUCAAUAUUGAGAAGCAUUCUAGAGCAUUGGUAUGUGGUACUAAAGUUGACAAUUUGUAUCGAUUGAAUAUUUAUGAAAAUUCAUAUCUUUAUAAUUAUUCUUAUGCAUCUUUUGAUGCUUUUGUGUGUGGAUGAUUCAUAUUUAUGGCAUUGAAGAUUAGAACAUAUAAAUAAAGAUAAAAUGAAUCACAUAGUUAAAAGAGGCUUGCUCCCCAAUUUAAGAGCAAUUGUGUUCAAAACAUGCAAGCCAUGUAUUUCUAGUAAAUUAAUUAAGAAGCAUUUCUCUAAAAGGAAAAGGUUUAGUGACCUGCUUAAUAUUGUUCACUCUUGAUAUAUGUGGCUCAUUAAAUGUAAUAAAAUAGAGAGGUAUGGAAUAUUUCAUAACAUUUAUAGAUGAUUAUUCACGCUAUGGAUAUGUAUACUUAAUUAUUAAAAAAAUUAGAUGCUUUAUAAAUUUUUUAAAAAUAUAAAGCUGAGGUAGAAAAUCAACUAGGUAGACAUAUUAGAACUCUGCGAACAGAUAGGGGAGGUGAAUAUUGCUUCACCUUAUUUAAUGAAAUUUGUAAAAAGCAUAGUAUAAUUCACCAAACAACUAUGUCAUAUACACCACAACAAAAUGGUGUAGCCAAAAGAAGAAAUAAAACUCUAAUGAACAUAGUUAGGUCUAUGAUAAGUCAUUUACUUAUCAACUAUUUUUUGGGGUCAGGCUUUCAACACUGCAAUGUAUAUUAUUAAUCGUGUUCUAAUAAAAUCGAUAGACUUGACCUUAUAUGAAUUAUGAAUAGGUAGAAAACCUGACCUUAUUAUCUUGAAAGUUUAGGGUCCUUGGGUACAUGUACUUAUACCACCACAAAAAUAGGGAUAAAUUACAAAGUAAAACUAUAAAAUGUUCAUUAUAGGUUAUUUAGAAAUUUUAAGGGCUAUAGAUUCUAUAACCAUGAGACUAGAUCCUUAGUAGAGAGUCGUGAUGCUCAUUUCUUAGAAAAUAUAGAUGAUGAAAAUAUUUUAAGUAAGCAUAUUGACUUACACGAAAUUAAUAAAGAUAAGGGUCUCCAAUACCCUAUUUGUCAGUAUCCCUAUACAUUUUGUGAGAAUGAUUCAAUUGAAUCAAGUGAACCAAAUAUGCCUAAAACAGCUAGACACCACCCAUGACUUUAGAAGAAUUUUAUGUAUUUAUGAAUGAAGAUAAUUAUUCUUCAAUAAGUGAAGAUUCAGUAGAUAAACCUCAAAGCUACAAUGAAGCUAUUAGCUCACAUGACUCUGCUGAGUGGACUCAAACCAUGGGUGAUGAACCUGCUUCUAUUGAAAGAAAUCAAGGUUGGGAGUUGAUUGACCUCCCUAAAGAUACAAAAGUCAUUGGUUGCAAAUGAGUUAUAAAGAAAAAGCUUAAUGCAAAUGGAUCUACUGAUAAAUAUAAACCUAAGUUGGUAACAAAAGGAUUUACCCAAAGGGAGGGCAUAGAUUAUGUAAAGACUUAUUCUCCAGUAGCAAAUUUUUCAUCUAUUAGGAUCAUCCUAGCAUUAGUUGCAUACUAUGAUAUAUAAAUAUUUCAGAUGGAUGUCAAAACAGUUAAUUGGAGAAUUAAAGAAGAUAUAUACAUGAAACAACCAAAAUGAUAUGUAAUUAAAGGCCAAGAAGACAAAGUAUAUCACUUUAAGAAAUCUUUGUAUGGUCUAAAACAGUCUUCUAGGCAGUGGUACAUUACUUUUCAUAAUGCAAUCACUGAAAUUGGUUAUGCAGCCAAUAGAUUAGACCAUUGUGUGUAUGUAUGGAAUAGUGGGAGCAAUUUUGUUAUAAUAUCACUGUAUGUAGAUGAUAUUGUGAUAGCUGGUAAUGAUAUUGGCAUGAUUAACCAUACGCAAUCAUGGCUAAGUUCCCAUUUUGACACGACUGAUAUUGGAGAAGCCUCAUAUGUAUUGGGCAUGAAAAUAACAAGAGAUAGAAGUUCGAGACUUCUAUAUUUAUCUCAAGAAAAUUAUCUAGAAAGUAUUUUAAAGAGAUUUAAGAUGAAAAAUUGUAAGCCCAUAGAUACACCCGUUUGUAAAGGCUUGAAAUUAUCGAAGAAAAUGUGUUCAUUAAAUGAUAAUGAUAAAGCUGAAAUAGAAAGAAUUUUAUGUGCUCAAUCUGUAGGAUAUAUAAAUUAUGUUAUGUUGUGUACAUGACCUGAUUUGAUUGAUGCAUAUAGUCUUGUAAGUAGAUUUCAAAGUAAUCCUGGGAUGGCUCAUUGGCAAGCCAUAAAAAAGAUACUCAGGUAUAUUUAGAAAACUAAAAAUGACAAGUUGUGCUUUCAAGCUGACAACUUAGAGGUUACUGGGUACUCUGAUGCAGACUUUGCAGGAGACUCAGAUGAUAGAAAAUCAACCUCAAGAUCUGUAUUCCUCUUUGGAGGUGGAUGUACUUCUUGGUCUAGCAAGAAACAAGGUUGUGUAGCUUGGUAUACUAUAGAAGCCGAAUAUAUUGCUUGUAGCAUUGGUACAACUUAUGCCUGUUGAAGAGUAUUUUUUGACACUUGUUAUCUUCGAUGUGCAUAAGGAGAAAAUAGUUUGCGAUUUAGGUCCACAGGUACCAAAAUGCAUGUGGGCCACGAAAGUAAUAGUAGGCAAAUAAGCCCUGAUUCUGAGCAUAAUUGCCAACAGUCCCAGAAUGACCUAAAAUGAUUUAAAAACGUGGCUAAGGGUCUCUUAAGAACACUCGCCAAGUUUCGUCGUGAUCCGACGAAGUUAAGACGAAUCAGACGCCAAAACAGUUUUCAAAUUCUGCCUCUAGCAUGCUAAAUGAAGAACCUCUAUCACCGAAGCUUCAGAUGAACACUGGAUCGCUUCUGUUGGAUUCAAAAGGUUGAAAAUCCCCGGGUACCAAGUUUCGUCUUGAUCGGAUGUUUCUGAACCAAUCUGUAACCAAGUUACCAAAAAUGGGUAGGCUGCACGCAAUCAUGGUGCACCCUCAGUGAACCAGCUUCCAUUUAUGGAAACUGUGGUUUCCAAUUUCGAGCUGAACUUCCCAUGGCCGUAUCUCCUUAAUCCUGGGUCAGAAUCAGCCCAAAAUUUGGAAGAUAUUCAUCUCAUCGGCCCAAUCGUUUUAAUGUAUGGCAUACCUGAUGACAUAGCCUAAGCAGGGAGAAAUCGAAAAAGAGAAGAUCGCCAUGGAAAAGCAAAAGUUGCAGGAUUUUUCAAGAGAGAGGUCCCUUCGAUCAAAUAAUCGUAUCACAGCGCCUGCAUAGCCGAUCGGCCUAAAAAUGGAUGCAUCGCGACCACAAGGUCGAGGACUCCAUUCAGGUCAAAUCUCACGUGUGAUGAACAGUUGGAUUUACUGCAUUUUAGGGACAAAAACGAGGCAAUUUUCGACCACCAGAAUCCCAAUUCUGGCCAAAAUUUCGCAAUUGAAAAAGUGGCCAUUUGGGCACCAAAUCGAGCCAUUCUUUUUGCAAAAUGAUCAUGGCGACUUGCUCGUCAAUCCACAUCACAGGAAAACAACAGAGAAAUGAGUGCAAUCUUGAAUCUAAAAUCUCAAGUUUCUCACAACUUUGCCGCCUCAAGUUAGCGGCCCAAAACCUCAAUUCAUGGCUCAAAAUCUAUACCAAAAUGACCACCUCACCGAGCUUUACAAGUUUUCGAUAUUAUUUUGGUCAAAUAGUGGCCGGAAGGAUCCCAUACCAGCCACGAGAAGUUCACGUGAGUUCAUGGCCAUGACAGGGAUUGAUAUGGAAUUACUUAGCUUGUUGUGGGUGAGGGGCAAAAUCGUCAUUUUGCCCCUAAUUUUUAGCAUUUAUUUAAUUUAGAUAAUGUCUAUUUUUCAGCAAUUAGGUUAGUUUUUUAGCAUCCACUCAUGUUUUCCAUGGUUGCCUAUAUAUACCUAGCAUUAAUACCUUGAAAAAGGUUGGUUGAUCAUUAGAUCCUUUGGAUAAUCUUUUGACCGCCCUUUAAUCUUAUGCUCUUGGUUCUUGGUUAUUUUGCUUAGCUUUUGUUAGAUAGAGAGGAGAGAGAAUAUUUUACUCGCUGCCCCUGGUCUUAGCUGCAGAGCCAAGACCUACUAGGUAAUCCUCUCCCUUCCCACGUGCUGGCCACCGACCUCUCUUCUUUCUCUCUCUCCUCUUCCCCCUCUUUCUCUCUACUUGCUCUUUCUCUCUCUUAUUCCUCUUUCCCUCUCUUUUUUCUCUCUCCUCCUCUUCCCUCUCUUUCUCUCUCCUUACUCUUUUUCUUCUUCUUUUUUCUCUCUUUUCUUCCUCUUUACCUCUCUUUUUUUUCUCUCCUCCUCUUCUCCCUCUUUUUCUCUCCUUACUCUUUCUCCCUCUCUUCUUUCUCUCUCCUCCUCUUCCCCUUCUUUCUCUCCUUACUCUUUCUCCCUCUCUUCUUUCUCUCUCCUCAUCUUCUCCCUCUUUCUCUCUCCUUUUUCUUUCUCUCUCUCUUCCUCUCUUCUUGCUUUCUCUUUCUCUUCUACCUCUUUCCCUCUCUUCUUUCUUUCUAUCUUCUUUUUCCUUUUUUCUCUCUCCUACUCUUCCCUUCUUUUUCUCUCGCAUCUUUCUCUCUCUUCUUCCUCUUUCCCUCUCUUCAUUUCUCCUUGCUCUCUCUCUUUCUCUUUCUCCUCGAAACAACAGCCUGCGCCUUUUACCACGAGUAAUGGGUUUCAGCCGUCGUCUCGCCCUCUUCUCCUUUUUACCUUCUCUCUCUUCUCUCGGAGCGGCAGCCCAAACCUUUUUUGAAGAGUGGUAAGCUUCAGCCGCCGUCUCAUCCUCUUCUCCUUUUUACCUUCUCUCUCUUCUCCCUGAGUGGCGGCCUGAGCCUUUUCCCUGAGUGGCAGUCUCAGCCGCCUUCUCAUUUUCUCCUCCUCUUCUACUUCUCGCCCUCUCCCCCGGAUGACGGCUUACCCGCCGUCUCGCUGCUCCCUUUCUUCUAGCUUCUCCUUUCUCUUCUGUCACCUCCCUCUUCCCCAAACGGCAGCUCAACCGUCGUCUCGCCGUCUUCCUUCCUUCUAAGCUUUCUUCUGUCGCUUUUGUCCUCUCCCUUUUCCCCUAAUGGCAACUCAGUUGUCGUCUUGCCUUCUCCCUUCCUUCUAAGCUUCUCUCUUCUCUUAUACUUCUCUCCCUCUUCCCCGAACGGCGGCUAAGUCGUCGUCUCGCCUUCCCUUUCUUCUAGCUUCUCCUUUGUCUUUUAUCUCCUCCAUCUUCCCCGAACGGUGGCUUAGCUAUUGUCUCGCCUUCUCCCUCGCUUCUAAACUCUUGUCCUUUCUCUCUCUUCUAUCUCCUCUCUCACUGCCUCUCUCUAUCUCCUAUCUCUUUCCAUCCUUUCUAUUCUCUCUAUCUCUCUCUACCUUCCACUAUCUUUAUCUUCUCUCUCCUUUCUCUAUCUUCUCCUCUUUCUCACUAUCCUUCUCUAUAUUCUUCUCUCUUACCACUCUUCUCUCCUCUUUCUUUACUUUCUCCUCUCUCUCUCACUAUCUUGUUCUAUAAUUCUCCUCUCUCUUACUACUUUUCUCUAUCCGCUCUCUUCUAUCUCUAUCUUCUUCUCUCCUUCUCAUUAACUCCCUCUUGUCUUCUCUCACUAUCUCCUUCUUGUCUUCUCUCACUAUCUCUCUCUAUCUUCUAUCUCUUUCUCCCUCUACCGCUUUCUCGUUUCUCCUUCUCCUUUUCUCACUUCUCCUUCUAACACAUCUACCUUCACAUCUCUCUUCUUUCUCCAUUCCUUGAAACUGUCGUGAGUUCCUUGUUAAGAAGACGCCGUAAGGCUGUCGGAUUGACGCGAACUCUACGACACCAUUCCCCCCAUUCUUUCCAUUUCUCUUUGGGCAUACACGUAUGUGUCUGCUCGCCUAAAGACAAGUCGGGGUCUCCUGAGGAAGGAAGCAAGGAGGUUAAGGGAGGCGAGUCUGAACCAGUUUGGGGGGUUUUCUUCAUGAUCUAAGAUGGUGGCCAUAUGAGCUAGCCCGAGCGUGUCACGGACCCACGUGAGGUAAGUCUCGCCUCACGACCUUUAAUUCAUCUCUCACUAGUAAGUACCCUGCCCGCAUCUGAAGUGUGUACUCACUCUUACGCGGGCCGCGAUUCCCAAGAGAGCGGUCUCCAGCCCCUAGGUUUCCCCUCAAAGAACCCGGGUCCUGUCAGCCGGGUCUUCUCGGCCCGACCGGCGAGAUCGAGGCAGCUAACCAAUGUCGUCUAGAUUAAACACUUCAUAAAUGAUUUGAAGCUGGAUAUAGCUGACGGACCUGUUAAAUGUUUUUGUGAUAAUCAGGCUGCUAUCUCAUUAAUUAAAAAUUGAGCUCAUAGUUCCAAGGGUAAGCAUAUUGAAAUUGAUUAUCAUUAUAUUUAUGAUAUUAUUGGAAAGAAUGAAAUAACUGUAAGUUAUUUAUGAUAUGAUUGCAGACCUUUUAACAAAUAGAUUAAGUUUAGAAAUAUUAUCAAAGCAUGUAGCUUUGAUGAAACUUAGAAAUAUCUAAGUCAGGAACUCCCAAAUGGGAUUGUUUUUUCUUUGAUGUCUUGGUCAUGAGAGGAAAAGCUGCAUUUGUGUGAAAAACCCCAUGGCAUGACUUUGGAUAUUUUUUGUUAUGAGAUGUUUAACCGCACUAACAUAAGAAGCCUCAUGACAAAGAUAUGUUCAUAAAUGUUAAACCCAUUAAGUGGUAACAAUUUUAUGAUAUUUCAAUAUAUCUAGCCCUCAUGGCCAAGUGGGAGAUGUUGGUACCUGUGGGUGGUCAUGUGGCCUUUAAACAUGCCAUUUUUCUCUCUCUUAUGAUUUAAUAUUUAUGACUAAAAAUAAGGGCUUCUUAGAGAGAGAAGAUGUCGUUAUCUAACAGGUAGAUGAUAACUACCCACCUCCCAAGAGUGGGUCAUGUUUUCUCAGAUAUUCCAAGAGGAAGUCGAAUCUUAGAGAAGGGCCCCCUCCAUCCCUUUAUAACCAAGUCUUUCAUGGCCAUGGAGAGACACGCACCUAGAAGUUAUCUUUUGAGUUCUCAUUGUUCAGAAAAAUCCUAACCUCUGCGAUCCACAAUCUCACGACAUUGGCCUCAACUCUUGGGAACUUAGUGGGUCCAUCUCAUCCCUCAAGAUUUCAACAUAAAAAAUAAGAAAUAUCUCAAGUUAAUUACCUAGAAAGAAAUCUAAUAAAUAUGAAUUAUUCAAGAUGCAGUUUGAUGCGAUGCACCGGCAAUGAAUUAGAGUGAGAAAAUCAAUCGUUUUAAUUUAGCUUUUAAGCACAUAAUGCAACAUAGCCUACUCGUUCGUGACAAUGGUGCCUACAAUGUGUCUCGUUAUGAGAUGUAAACCUAGGAAGCAGAUGCCCAAGAGGAUUGUUUGACAUGCCUCCUAUAGAGAGAGAUAGAGGGAGAGAGAGGUGAGAAAAAACUAUUGUUUCUCAUAAAGAAGAGAGGGUAGUCAUCACGGUACUUAAAGUACCGUAAUAUUAAUUCAAGUUAUUACGGUAAUACUACUACCAUGAAGGUUAUUUUGGUCACAAAACGACUAAAAUUGAAGAAAAAUGUUGUGAACAAGGUUUAUGAAAGUUGGAGUUUUUUUCUCUGAAUAGACAAAAAUUAAGGUAUAUCUGUAAUAAUUUCCCUAAGUUUUUAUGUUGUAAGGGAAACAUAAAAAGCUUGCCGCCUAGUAAAAUUGGAACAAUACAAAGAACAUUAGCAUAGCCAUGCAUAAGGAUAAAAGGGAUGCGCCACGGAGAAGUUAUUUUUCUUACUUAUUUUGGAAAUACAAGCUUAAACAAAACUAGAAACAAUCUAUCUAUAUAAGCAUGGAAAUAUUGUUGCAAGGAAAGAGUCCUACAUUAAAAGAAGGGAGAAAUACACAAGGAAAUCUUGUUUUAUUAGGACUUUAGUGUACAAGGAGUGCCUAUGCUGCAAGACCAUUUACCUUCGGUUAAAAGGUUCUAUGUUUUCUUUGGUGUACAGGGAGUGCCUAUGUUUUCUUUUUACUUUGUAAGGAGAAAUGAAAGGCCUAAAGGCUAUUUUCAAGGUCUUUAUGGCAUGAGGGUGAUCAAUACAGGUACAUUAUUUGAAAUUCUAUGAAUGUAAUAUGAAUAGAUUUUAGGGCAUGUUGAUUGUUGUUGAAUGGUAUUUGAACCCAAAUGAUAUCUAGCAGAAGCAGUAUUUGGUGGAAUUUUUUUUUUUUUUGGAUAAGUAUAUUUGGUGGAAUUAUAUUUUGUUAUAUCCUAAAAUCCCUAUCUACUUUCUCACUUCCAUUAGAUAAGCUUAGUUUUUUUUGCUUUUUUGAAGGAUAUGUUGCUGCUAGUUAUGGAUUUCUUCUUGGUUGCAGAAAAAAGUCUCUAGUCUUAGAUGGCAAUGAACACCAUGAAAAGUGAAAAAACCAAACAAUUUGAAGGAAGGUGACUAUCUCUUUCCAAGUUUUUUUUUUUUAACAGUAACUUGAGAAUUGGGUGGGAAUGGAGCCUGAGACCUGUUCUGGGUCAUCUGAGGAACUACCGUCAUGAUCUCAACCCAUUUCUGGGUCAUCUGAGGAACGACCGUCAUGAUCUCAACCCAUUUCCCAGUUCUAUUUUAUUUUCUUUGCCUCUUGUCUGGCAUCAAUGUUUCAUAUUUGGCAGACCACAGUUCUUUCUCUCUACUUUGGUUCAUGAAAUCAUGGUUUUUUUUUUUAAAAUGUAUACACUAGGAUAUCUUUGACAACCCCACAGCAUCCUCAUGCUUCAGGAUAUAGUGAAACCUAUGAUAAUGAUGAUUUUAAAAGAACCAAAGCACCUUUGGAUUGCUUGAACAUCAGCACCAUAGAUUAGUCUUGGUAUUGAAUUUGUUCGUGUCAAUUGAAAGGGGUAUGACAAACAUUAAAGUCAAUCAGUACUUGAACUCAGAAGAGGGAAAAUUUCAAGCAAACCUCUACAUUUGAGGUAGUCUUUGAAACAUUACAAAAUACCUGUAACUCCACUAGCACAAGAACCAUAUAUCUUUGCUGAAUAGCCAGGUCUUAUGAUCGAAGUAGAUAAUCAGCAAGUUUCUAAAAUGGAAGGCCUCUUAAUUUUGUAGGCCUAGAUGAAAAGUGUUGAAACUUGGCUGUAGACAUGAUAUUUAUAAAUGAAAAAUGUGAUCUAAGUAUUUAUCAUUUUCCAGUGAUCUGAUGCUGAAAUUUUAGCUUUUGUUACAAACUUGACCAUAUCAACUGCUACAUUUUGGAUUUUGAUUGCUUACAAAUGACAGGAAGCAAUAUGUAUUAUAUAUUAGUAUUACUAUGCAUCAACCUCAGUUUGCAAUGGCUAUCCUUGUUUGCCAAAGCGGUGUGUUCACUCAUAGAACAGCUUAAGCCUACUCCUUUUAAAGUGCAAGAAUCAGUUUUAAAACUUCGCGGGACCUACUCGGACUCACCUAUGUUAAGUGAAACAGGCACGCAAGGGCUUUAGAUGAGUCAGACUCAAAUGAUCCAAAUCUCAUCCGUGCAUGCCUGAGUCUGCAUGUCUGUCAAAAAAUACAGCAAAAUGUCCCUAAAAAUAUACAGUGUUCUAAAGACUGAGAGUCAGUGAGUUGACUUCAGUCCCCUGAAGCUGAAUUGCCUAUGCAGUGACUGAGUCCUGGGGCGAAGUAUGAGGUUUACACCACUGUUAGCAACCACAGAAGCUCAAGUUGCCCCAAAUAUCUUAUGUGUAAUAUCUUUAUAAGUCCGUGCCCCCAUCAUCGUCAGAGCUUUUUCCGAUCUAUUUGAGAUCUGCUACACAAAUCGUAGUCUGUCAUUCUGCUUUAUCAAGGAUAUAAGCAGAUAACGUAGAUUCAUGAUCCAUUAAAAAUUGUAGAAAAAUUUUAUAUUGGUUGCCUACCUGAUACAACCCAACUCCUUUACCCCGGCCUGAGACGGGUUAAGAAAAAGUUUAAGGUCUUCACCCUUCUUAUACCAUUUUGCACAUGCUCUCUUUAUUAUAACAAAUGGCUCGAAAUCGUUUGAGACGGUCCUUGUUUGGGAAAAGGCUUGGGUUCAAUUGUUGAAGGUCCUUACCAAAAUUAUUUGUUUUGCCCUUCUCCUUAGUAAGAAUGGAAGUCCCCACCCAUCAACUCUAAGAAACAAAGCGCUAUCAUAUUUGGAGCAUAUUUAAUAUUCAAAGCAUUUUUUAAUUAUUCCCAACCAUGGAAGAAUGGAAGUCCCCACCCAUCAACUCCAAGAAACAAAGCGCUAUCAUAUUUGAAGCAUAUUUAAUAUUCAAAGCAUUUUUUAAUUAUUCCCAACCAUACAAACAAUUUCCUUCAAGCCAGAGUUUACAAAAAAAAGUUUCACUACCACAUAAAAAAACAGAAAAGAAAAAGGAUUUGUUCUAUCAUGAAAAACCACACAGUGAAGCAUGAGUGACCACUGCCUGAAUGACACACAAUGAAAGUAUAAUGGAAAUUAGUAGUUCUCCAAGCAUGAACAAGUACAUAAUAGAAACAUGAACAAGCUUCUCAUUAUGUGGCUUUUUGGUGGAUUAUUGGGUUCUAUUUGAAUCAUUUGGUAUUUGCAUGUGCAAAGCGUUGGGAGGAGAGAGAUGCUCAUUACAAGGUGCAAUGAGCGAGCCAGGAUAUUGCAGGACCAAUCCAAUGUAAGCUCGAACCAUGUCAAGGCCCUAGCGAUUCUGGUUUCAACUUUUCUAUGGAAGGUAGCUCAACCAAAAUUAUCAGUUGAAGGAGCAGGAAUUGAUACAAGGUGAACAUUUGGAUAAGACAACACAAGUUUUUCAGCUUAAACCAGAAUCAUACUUCAUAGAGACACGCAAAAUUCCUGGACUACAAACAUUUUACAGCUCCGGAUGAACAUUAAGUGCCCUGUUUUUACCAAUGACCAUUAAAUCACAUAUUUUUCUGAUUGGGAUAUUUAGAGGAAAUAUUGUAUUCAUUUAAGGGGAAAAUAAUUCAUAUCAAAACUUCAAAAACAAUAUUUUGGUAGCUAACAAGGACUAUAAGUCAUCGUCAUAGCUUUUUCCCAAUUAAUGGGAGUCGGCUAACAAGGACUAUAAGUAUCAAUAUUAAAUUAUCUUGCAGAAUGACCCAAGGCAGUCCCAAGCGAAGUAGAGCAGUCAGCAAACAAUAACAUGAAAUGGAAUAUGCACAUCAAAAACAAGGAAAAAUAUGUGACUAUCAAUAUUUUUUUUAUUGAAAGCAAAGCACCCCCCACAGAAGAGAAUAACAUAUCAUAUUCGAAUCAAACAAAACGUCAGAGAGGGAUUGGAGGAAAAUCCAACAGUCAGUGCAAGAAAAGGCAUGACCACUGAGUUUAACUUCUGACCUAUCUUAAAUUCCCCAACAUACAUGAAGUUGACAUCUAGAAAGAAUCACAACUUCAUAUCAAUACAGAGUUAAAAAGACCCCUCAACACAAAUUAUUUUUGGUCAACAAAUGUGACCAAGUGGCUCCAAUGCAAUCUUGACCUUCUGAUUUCACAUUCAAAUCCCAAUUUUACCCCACCAAAAUAAGUUCCCAAAACCAAAAACAUAAAUGAGCGCAUAAAAUACCUGUGAAUUCUUAGAAGAUUCAAGACAAAACCCCAACUUCAAGACCCAAUAUCGAGAUCACCUCAAGAAAUACUAGCUAAUUUGUCAAUAAGGAGAGAACCCCGAAACUCAACAAGCCAUAAUUCUUUUGAAAAACAUAUACUGAUCACCUCAAGAGCACCAAUUGAUCUCAAUUUGGAGAUCCAAUAACACAUAAGAAAUAGCAAUUGUGAACAAAGGCUCAGAUAACCUCAAAAACUAGCUGGCAUAUCUUGGUUUUGUUGAGGACCAGAGGGCCAAAAAAAGCGCGAUUUUUUAGCAUGCUCAAAGGUUACCAGUUUGAAUGUCAUUUUGAAGAAGACCAAAUAUUGCAGAGACCACAAAGUCCAGAUCACCUUGAAAGGUACCCACUUAGAGAAGAAGAUGAUCCAUCAUGCACUUUUUUUGGAUACAUGGAGUGUAACUUUGGGUACCAUGUUGUGAAGUAAGAUUGAGUGCCAGAAAGUCAUGGAAGGCCAUACCCACAAAAUCCGUACAACAAAUAUUCUUGAUGUUUUCUUUGCUGCCUAUAUGGAACAACAUGCUCAACAAUUGUUUCAUUUUAUAAUAAGCUCAAAAGGUUAAGAAAUGAGUAAUGCCCCAGGUUCCAUAAGAAUGAAACCCCAGGACUUGUACCGUACAAAAAAAUUAAAUUGCUUGAAGUUCUACACAAGGUAACAUAAGAAGUACUAAAACAGUGUACCAGAGUACUAAAUGACGAGGAUAUGAGAGCACCACUAUCAAAGAUGGAGAAGAAAUCUCAUCACGGAGUGAUUCAAAUGAACAUGGUUCAACUGGCUCCAAAAUCAAACAAGCCGAAAAUGAAAAAACAAAAGAAAAAUGGUGCACCUUUGACGAAAUAUUCGGUAACGAUUGGUUGGAUAAGACCGGUGUGACAUAUGAAUGGAAGAAUUGAAGACAUGAUGAAGAUCACUAAAUCUCUUAAUUUAGAGUUUUGAGUUAGGCAUUAUGACAUGUACUCUUGUACGCAUAGGAGUAUGAUCUAUAGAUUUUAUAAUCUUAAGCAGCAGGUGUGACAUAUGAAUGGAAGAAUUGAAGACAUGAUGAAGAUCGCUAAGUCUCUUAAUUUUUGAGUUAGGCAUAAUGACAUGUACUCUUGUACUCAUUGUCGGAGUAUGAUCUAUAGAUUCUAUAAUCUUGAGCCAAAUGUUAAUGCAACAGGUGGGCUUCCUGUACAAACCCCCCCUGCUAAUUUAGCCAAAAACAAAAAAACCAAAUGCAUCAAGGGGAAAAUUCAUGUCUUCAAAGUAGCUCUUGCAGUUCAGAUGAUGAUAAUGAUCAGGGCUCGUCAUCUAUAUAUUAAGGCAAGAACCAUCAAAUGAAUCCUAGCUAUGCUGUCCAUGAAUUGAUACAAGAAGUUUAAUUGCUAGAAUAUCUUUCUUAAGGCAUUGGUUCUGGUGCCAUAACAGGAAAAAUGGAAGUCAGUUCCAUUACAACUUCAAUUAACAUCUGGUGAGCUCAAUUUUGAUCUAUUGAGACAUCUUUGAUUGAGAUAGAUCAUGAAAAGUGCAACUGCAUUAGAUGCUCACAUAUUAGCUACUUAUUACACAAUAGCAAGUGAACAAACGCAAGUAAAAUUUAAGUGUCAAGUCUGCCGGUGCCCCGGAAAGAAAACGAGCAUGGAAAUAAAAAAGUCAGGACUGAAUAUGUAACUCUAGUACAGAGAACAAUGAAAUGAAACAAUAGAAAAAAUUUUAGGCGACAAUAUCGAAGGACAUUAAAGUGAAAUUUUAUUAAGCCAAAAUCACAAAUUGCAUAGACAUCUAGCCCAAUAUCCUUCAAUUCACAAACCAUUUUGUCCAUUUAAUUUACAUACUUUUCAUGACCAUACAAUUUACUGAUAAACCAAAGUAAGCUGCUUGGGCAUGAAUCAUCCUCACUACGAAACUCUACCUUAUGCGAGCCAAAAAAAUUGGAGCACAAGUCAUAACAAUUCUUAAACCACUGUUACAACAUGGGGAACCUUAUGCUCAUCAAAUGGCAAGCUCAUAUAUUCCUGAGAGAACUCCUUGACAAUGGCACUCGCGAGCUCGUUAUGGAGAGCCUUCGAAUAGAGGUACAACACUGCAAUCGACCCGAACCCAUAAAGAAGCAACACAGUCAUGGACGCCAAGACAAGGACACUCAUAGCAAUCUUAUGAGGAAAAUUCCAUGGAUCCUUUGAGAAAUUGGAUUGUAAGUCCAACCAAUCAACCGAAACCCACCACAAAACAAGGCCUCCAAGAGAGAAGAACAGUGUGAGAAACAGAGGAACAGUCCUCAUGCCUUUCAUGAGAUAAGCGCUUCGUCUCAAUGGUUCGAUGCCCCAACUGCCCUCGACGACUGCUAUAACAAAAGCAACAGCCCAAUUCACCUGAACAUAGAGGCCUCCCAAAACUGCCAUAACCGAGAAGGCGAUGAUGAAUGGUGCUGUUAUUGGUGGAGAACUGAAUUGGAAACCCAGAGCAGAGAAAGCUUGAAGGACCAAAGCGAGGGCCACCCCAAUCAACAAGAAACUUCCCAUAAUAAUAGCAUUCAUGGAGAGGAUGGUGAGGAAGAGGCGCCACGAUGAAGACGGGAUCGAAGCUAUUGCAUCCAAAAAUUUGACAGGGCGCCCAAAGAAGCCAUUAUUGAUGCUACAAACUAUAGUCGAGGUCGCGCAGAUGUUGAGGACCAUUAAAAGAGCAGUGUACACAAGGUAAAAUACCACAGAUUUGAUCAGAAUUCCACCAUUUCCAGGAGAGAAUCCUUCUGCCCCUCUUCUGAGAAGCUCCUCCACUCGCUGGUGUGGCUGAUUGUCGUUAGGGUUCUCAUCAAUAAAAGAGGAUUUGAAGGUGGGGGAGGCGACAGAGAGGAAAGAGAUGGGGAGGAGGAAGAGGACUGAGAGGCCGAGAAAAUGCCUGGAAUGAGCGUGGAUGAUCCUUCUCGUCUCAUCCAAAACACCAAAGAAACCAACGGGUGCCAUUGAAAAUCUGUGGGCACAAAGGAUAACAGCUUUUGCAGAAUUGCAGAGAGAGGAUUGCUUGUAGCUUUUGCACCAGACGAGAGAAGUGCACAAAGAGAGAGAGAGAGAGAGAGAGAGAGAGAGAGAGAUAGAGUGUUANNNNNNNNNNNNNNNNNNNNNNNNNNNNNNNNNNNNNNNNNNNNNNNNNNNNNNNNNNNNNNNNNNNNNNNNNNNNNNNNNNNNNNNNNNNNNNNNNNNNNNNNNNNNNNNNNNNNNNNNNNNNNNNNNNNNNNNNNNNNNNNNNNNNNNNNNNNNNNNNNNNNNNNNNNNNNNNNNNNNNNNNNNNNNNNNNNNNNNNNNNNNNNNNNNNNNNNNNNNNNNNNNNNNNNNNNNNNNNNNNNNNNNNNNNNNNNNNNNNNNNNNNNNNNNNNNNNNNNNNNNNNNNNNNNNNNNNNNNNNNNNNNNNNNNNNNNNNNNNNNNNNNNNNNNNNNNNNNNNNNNNNNNNNNNNNNNNNNNNNNNNNNNNNNNNNNNNNNNNNNNNNNNNNNNNNNNNNNNNNNNNNNNNNNNNNNNNNNNNNNNNNNNNNNNNNNNNNNNNNNNNNNNNNNNNNNNNNNNNNNNNNNNNNNNNNNNNNNNNNNNNNNNNNNNNNNNNNNNNNNNNNNNNNNNNNNNNNNNNNNNNNNNNNNNNNNNNNNNNNNNNNNNNNNNNNNNNNNNNNNNNNNNNNNNNNNNNNNNNNNNNNNNNNNNNNNNNNNNNNNNNNNNNNNNNNNNNNNNNNNNNNNNNNNNNNNNNNNNNNNNNNNNNNNNNNNNNNNNNNNNNNNNNNNNNNNNNNNNNNNNNNNNNNNNNNNNNNNNNNNNNNNNNNNNNNNNNNNNNNNNNNNNNNNNNNNNNNNNNNNNNNNNNNNNNNNNNNNNNNNNNNNNNNNAGAGAGAGAGAGAGAAUAGAUGUUUGAGGAAGGAGAUGGGGAUUUAAGAGCUUAGGGCACGAUGAAGGAUGAGAGAAUGUGAUGGCGGAUGAGGAAGAUGAG